UACGUAGGGUGCAAGCGUUAAUCGGAAUUACUGGGCGUAAAGCGUGCGCAGGCGGUUUUGUAAGUUGUCGUGAAAGCCCCGGGCUCAACCUGGGAAUUGCGAUGAAGACUGCAAGGCUUGAAUCUGGCAGAGGGGGGUAGAAUUCCACGUGUAGCAGGUGAAAUGCGUAGAGAUGUGGAGGAACACCGAUGGCGAAGGCAGCCCCUGGGUCAAGAUUGACGCUCGAUGCACGAAAGCGUGGGGAGCAAACAGGAUUGAGA
rnacentral:rRNA from 1 species